AAUGAACGCUGGCGGCAGGCCUAACACAUGCAAGUCGAGCGAGCGGCGGACGGGUGAGUAAUGUCUGGGAAACUGCCCGCUGGAGGGGGGUAACUACUGGAAACGGUAGCUAAUAACGCAUACCAUCCGAUCUUCUCAGAGGGGAUUCGCUCGUAGGUGGGGUCAUGGCUCACCUAGGCGACGACCCCUUGCUGGUCUGAGAGGUUGACCAGCCACACUGGAACGGAGACACGAGCCAGACUCCUACGGGAGGCAGCAGUGGGGAAUAUUACACAAUGGGAGCAAGCCUGAUGAAGCCAUGCCGCGUGUGUGAAGAGGGCCUUCGGGUUGUAAAGCACUUUCAGCGGGGAGGCGUUACCCGCAGAAGAAGCACCGGCUAACUCCGUGCCAGCAGCCGCGGUAAUAC
rnacentral:rRNA from 1 species